ensembl:lncRNA
UGAACAUUAAAACCAGUAUAUUAACAAGAAGAAUAUAUAAAUAUAAUACAAAAACCAGUAUAACUGCUAUUCUUUAGGACUGAGGUUCUCAGAGUGCUUCACCUCAUUUAAUCUCAGCAAAGCCCCUCUGAAAUGGGCAGAAGUGGUAGACAGCUGGGCCGGGCUGUGGGAAACGCCCGUUCCGGACAGUGAGGUCCCCAUUAGCCAGCCUUGAUCAGCGGCACCUGACACAGGGCUCUGGUUGUUACUCACGUGUAAUUAAAACCGUAACAAGCCACGCAGCCACUUCCAUUGGUAAUAAACCACAUUCCCAAAGCUGUGGCACAACAGAGGAACUCAUCUGGUUUACUGUGAAACAGGAAUAUUUGGAAUUUAAAAGCCUAGUUGUUCUGGAUCGUGUCAGAAGGAAACAUUUUCACAGGCAGCACACAGUAAAACAUCAUAAAUAUAACAGAUUGUUAAAAGAUAGUUUACAAAUUUAUGAAUAAGGCUAGAGGGAGAACCCAAAUGAAAUACAAACAAAAACAACGCCCUCUGCAUUUCAGAGAAGGGGAAAAAUGAAACUUGGAACAGUCCGUGCUUUCCCUCCAUGUCCAGUGCCAGGACAUAAGGAGCUACAAACACACGUUGAAGUAAUCAUGCUUAUUUUUCCCAGUUGUAUGGUUUUGGCAAUUCUAAAACUACUUUCUGCAUAUUACAGGACUGAGCAAAUAAGUCAAUGUGUUUAUCAUGCUGAAAGACAGGUUUCUUACAGCUGGGAAAGGCGAGCCACAGCCCUAAAUGCUGUGUGAGAAUGGGAGUGGUCUGUAAGAAUUUGGUUUUUAAUACAUAGAGAAACAUGUGUGCAGAUGUAUUAUAUACAAUACACACAGUUUAUAUGUGCAGAUGUAUUUAUUAUAUAUGAUAGUUUAUAUGUGCAGGUAUAUUAUAUGAUACACAGUUUAUAUGUGCACAUUUAUUAUAUAUGAUACACACACAGUUUAUAUGUGCAUAUGUAUUAUAUAUGAUACACAGUUUUUUUCCUAGCUCUGUCCACCGAAGGGGCCUAGAAGCUAUGGCACCCCAGAAACAACUGGCACACCUCAAAUCCAUUUCUUGGUUUUUAAAUACCAUUCUCUAUUCAAAAGGAACAGAGCUCUUUGGAGAAAUGACUCUUUCCAGGGAAGGGCAGAGAGUGCAGGGUGAGCCUUAGAAAAUCUAGUGCCAGAAAAUAAGGAAAUGCUGAACAACACUGGGGACAUGUGAGAGGGCUAGAGGAGCCAGCCUGAAGCCCCUCCCACUGGCCAAAUUGGGGGCAAUUUGAGCAUAAAAAUAAUUGUAGGAAGAGGCCAGGAAGACGACAGAAUAGGAGGUUCCAGCCGUCAUGCCCACACAGAAACACAGAGAGGUUCUAGCACCCCACAGGGCAAAGAGAGCACACUGAAGAGGCUACGAAGGUUCACCUUACUGUGCCAGUCCUCCUCCAAUGAAGCCCCCCUGGGCCUGUGGUUUCUCUCACAGGGGAAACUGAGCACUGAGUGAGCACCGGCUUCCCCAACCUUAUAGGAUGCUGCCCAGUAGCCCACCUGUGUCUCUCCCCAGAACACUGAGGAAUCAGCAUGGCUGAGUCAUCUGGGCACUGCUAGGAGAAGGGAAGGGCAUGCCCAGCAACCAACAGCCAGCCAGGGAUCCCACUAACCAGCUAACACUCCACCAGGAGGCCCGACUGUGAACCCACAGAAUGACUUGCCUGUGGCCCCCACAACCAACUGAUCCCUGCCCCCAGCACCCCACGUACCCCUCAGCGUAUGGUGUCUCAUGCACCCUCCUCCCAAACACUACACAGAUCUCAAUGGCAGAUGCAAAUCUGAGCAUCUAGCUUGACUCUGCUCGACUGGGAGAAGGUGCCCAACCUUGAAUUCUUCAGUGCACUACACUAGGGGAAAUGGAAGGUGCUCAGCAUAGACCCGGCUUUGGAGGACUGACAGAAGCUUACAACCUAAGACUUCUCUCCCUAAGAGGGAACAACAGGAGUCAAGUGGGUGUAUCUACAGAAAAGAUCUGAGAGACCUCUCAAAUCCUUAGCUAGGACGACUGAUGAAGGUCUUUCUCUCCCAAAGUCAGUCAACAAAGACUGGGGGAGAGCCCGGCAUGGUGGCUCACACCUGUAAUCCCAGCACUUUGGGAGGCUGAGGUGGGAGGAUCACUUGAGGCCAGGAGUUUGAGACCACCCUGGGCAACAUAGUGAGAUCCCAUCUCUUAAAAAAAUAAAACAUUAAAAAAUUUUUAAUAAGAAACAAUUAUGUAAGACUAAAGGAGGUGACUGCUUCUUCAAAUGUGAGGAUAGCAGUGCAAGUCUUCAAAAAUAUGUAUAUACAAAGAAUCAAGGAAAUAUGACACCUUUAAAGCAACAAAAUAAAGCUCCAAAAUAAAGUUGACCCCGAAGAAAUGGGGACUUACUGGCCAGGCUUAGUGGCUCAUCGUAAUCCCAGCACUUCGGGAGGCUGAGGCGGGCAGAUCACGAGGUCAGGAGUUUGACACUAGCCCGACCAACAUGGUGAAACUCCGUCUCUACAAAAAAUAAAAAAAUUAGCCAGGCAUGGUGGUGCAUGCCUGUAAUACCAGCUACUCUCAAAAAAAUAAAAAAUAAAAAUAAAAGCCGGGCGCGGUGGCUCAAGCCUGUAAUCCCAGCACUU